CCUACGGGAGGCAGCAGUGGGGAAUAUUGCACAAUGGGCGCAAGCCUGAUGCAGCGACGCCGCGUGCGGGAUGGAGGCCUUCGGGUUGUAAACCGCUUUUGUUCAAGGGCAAGGCACGGUCUUUGGCCGUGUUGAGUGGAUUGUUCGAAUAAGCACCGGCUAACUACGUGCCAGCAGCCGCGGUAAUACGUAGGGUGCAAGCGUUAUCCGGAUUUAUUGGGCGUAAAGGGCUCGUAGGCGGUUCGUCGCGUCCGGUGUGAAAGUCCAUCGCUUAACGGUGGAUCCGCGCCGGGUACGGGCGGGCUUGAGUGCGGUAGGGGAGACUGGAAUUCCCGGUGUAACGGUGGAAUGUGUAGAUAUCGGGAAGAACACCAAUGGCGAAGGCAGCAUACCGGCGCCCAACUGACGCUGAAGCACGAAAGCGUGGGUAUCGAACAGGAUUAGAUACCCGGGUAGUC
rnacentral:rRNA from 1 species